rnacentral:rRNA from 1 species
UACAGAGGGUGCGAGCGUUGUUCGGAAUUAUUGGGCGUAAAGGGCGCGUAGGCGGUGCGGUAAGUCACCUGUGAAAUCUCCUGGCUCAACUGGGAGCUUGCAGGCGAAACUGCCGUGCUGGAGUGUGGGAGAGGUGCGUGGAAUUCCCGGUGUAGCGGUGAAAUGCGUAGAUAUCGGGAGGAGCACCUGUGGCGAAAGCGGCGCACUGGACCACAACUGACGCUGAGGCGCGAAAGCUAGGGGAGCAAACAGG